CCUACGGGCGGCUGCAGUGGGGAAUAUUGGACAAUGGGGGGAACCCUGAUCCAGUCAUGCCGCGUGUGUGAAGAAGGCCCUCGGGUUGUAAAGCACUUUCAGUGAGGAAGAACGCCUGGUGGUUAAUACCCAUCAGGAAAGACAUCACUCACAGAAGAAGCACCGGCUAACUCCGUGCCAGCAGCCGCGGUAAUACGGAGGGUGCGAGCGUUAAUCGGAAUUAAUGGGCGUAAAGCGCGCGUAGGUGGCUUGAUAAGCCGGUUGUGAAAGCCCCGGGCUCAACCUGGGAACGGCAUCCGGAACUGUCAAGCUAGAGUGCAGGAGAGGAAGGUAGAAUUCCCGGUGUAGCGGUGAAAUGCGUAGAGAUCGGGAGGAAUACCAGUGGCGAAGGCGGCCUUCUGGACUGACACUGACACUGAGGUGCGAAAGCGUGGGUAGCAAACAGGAUUAGAUACCCUAGUAGUC
rnacentral:rRNA from 1 species